ACACAGAGUAUAAGCGGUGAGUGUGGCAGCGUUGCCAUGCAGAACAUUGCUCUACAG
rfam:Pantoea sp. At-9b plasmid pPAT9B01, complete sequence.